UAGGGAAUAUUGGUCAAUGGACGCAAGUCUGAACCAGCCAUGCCGCGUGAAGGAUGAAGGCCCUCUGGGUCGUAAACUUCUUUUAUUAGGGAAGAAACCUCAGGAUGCGUCCUGAGCUGACGGUACUUAAUGAAUAAGGAUCGGCUAACUUCGUGCCAGCAGCCGCGGUAAGACGAAGGAUCCAAGCGUUGUCCGGAUUUACUGGGCGUAAAGAGCGGGUAGGCGGCCACGCAGGUCCGUUGUGAAAAC
rnacentral:rRNA from 1 species